GCCAGAAUAUGUCAGAGGACAGUUCUCUAGAAUAGGCAAUCUGUUGAUAGAACUGGCCCCUCCACUUGCUCAAGGCCUGAAUUGCAAUAAAGGAUGAACCUUUCUACCAACAAGUCAACAAUUACAGUAAAAUGAAAAUGUAAGCAUGACUGGAGCUUUGAACACCUAAACUCUUUCAAGAGCUUGGACUGGACCCUGAUGAAGAUUUUUCUUUCAACAAGGAUAUCAGAAGGGGAAAAAAAUCUCAGAGAAAGGAACAGGAGUUGUGUCUGGGACAUAUUUAUAUUUGUCAUCUUGCUCAGAUUCCCUUAAUUUCAUAAUUGGACUUGACAUCUCUCCACAAGAUAAAUGAGGCAACAUUGAAAGGACGAAGAGCUUUGUCUGCAAAUGAUUCCCUGUGUAGAUUCUCUCAACAUAGAGAAUCUCUAACAUUCAAAGCACUCAUAAUUGAUGGCUAACAAAAAACUUUAUUUACUUUGGAGAAAGCUCUUUCUUGAUUAUUCAAAAUAAUUGUUAGGCAGGGAGCAAACAUUCAAAUUGUGUGAUUUAUGCUUAGCCACUUAACAGUUUUCCUGUUGCAACUCCACUGAAGACAGAAUGUGGUUUUUUCCAUUUAUUUAUUUACUUGACUCCAUCCUGGCCCAAUGGACUAGGUUCUACUAAAGGAAGGGUAUCUCUAUAUUUUAGUAUUGCAAUUGUGUAAUACUUUGAUCAGACAUAAAAUCUUUCAGGCUUGAAGCGUAUAACUGUAAAAUAGAAAACAUUAUUUCAUCACAAACAACGCUUGCUAUGUAAAAGUGAGAUCUCUGUAGGAAUUUGUUGAUGUGAAGUUGAGCUGACACCAUUAGCACUGAGAUUAACAUGGUGAAAUCUCACUGCAUUUAAUUUAGCUCAUGCAGUUCCUUUUUAUCCAUAUAUAGACACAGUAGAAAAAGCCAUUUUCUCUUGUCUCACUUAUAGCAUAAAUGUGAAGUCUUGCUGCAUUUUUCUUCAAAGAUUAAUUUUCAAAAUAUCAAAACAGCUUACCCAGCAUGCUCUUUUUCCUACCAGGUUUGUUGGAGAUGAAGCUAGCAGCAAUUUACAAGAGCCAUUCUAUUUUUGUAUCUAAUAAGAGAGAGAAGCAGACAAUCUUCUGGUACACAGAUUCACUUUUUAAAGGGCUUUUCAUCCAUUUGAUUCAUUCACAGUCUUGUGCAAGCUUUUUUAUUAUUAUUAUUAAAUAGCCCAAUGCAUUAUUUUCUACAGAUUACUCCCUGCCUCCCCAAUCAGAAUAUGGUGAAUAUAUGGAAUUAUAUGGAAAGCAUGGACUUUAAGUUUGAAAAAGCAAGUGUGUUGUUUUGAUUCUUUUCUAUAGUAGUAGCCUAAGUAAAAUAUUGGAAAACACGAACAACAUAAAAUAUAUCCAGUUUGUCAAAUACGAACAUUUUGUUAUGUCAGCAAACAAAUGUGAUACUUUGAGGAGUUUUGAUAUAAUAUAUAUUUCUAAUUAAUUUUCCUUCAUAGUGCUUCAAUUGUCAUGGAUUUUAGCUAAGCAAUGACAAGUGUAACAUUUGUGAGCAACUGUGAUUAAUCUCUGUUUCCAUAUUAGAAGUGUUUUGAACAUUUAUUAUGUUUCUUGAAAAAACUAAUUUAUGCUAAUGUUGAAGACAAGAACAAGAUUUAGGACUGAACCCUUUUCUCUUUUGAGGAUCAUGUGACUAAUGUAAAUGUCUAAUUCAAUACUGUACAUGCAGUAGUACACAUUAUCUACUCCUUUCUGAUUAACAAAAACAAGAGAUUAGUUCAGGCAUGUCAAACUCACGACGUCAUGUGACAUCACACAACGUAUCGGGCCGGUUUUGCCAUUGCCAGCAAUGGGGUGGGCAUGGCUUCCAUGUGACAUGUCCGGCCCGCGGGCCAGCAGUUUGACAUCCCUGGAUUAGUUCUUAGAUAUCAAGAUUUGCAAGAAUUUGCAAGCAGAGAAUGCACUUUGUACUUGUUCCUAAGUGGAAAGUCUUUAUCCAUACUUUUGCAUGGUUUGGUCAUAUGAAGCAAGAAUGAAACACAAAAUUAGCAAAAAUUAAAUUUUGCCUUCUAUAUGCCUCUUCAGAAGGGGCAAACCAAGUGAGAUAUUAAAUACAGUCAAUGAUGUUUUAAACACAAAAUUGCAUACACUACCAAACAUCACAAGAAUGGUGUUAAAAAUAAGUUGACUCCCAUAGAGUCAACAAUCUAUGAAGCAAUGAAGCAUUUUAAAUCCAGAAAUCCAGCAAAGCUUUGGAAAUUGGUGUGAGAUACAUACUUUGAUUAAGAGGAAAACUAUUUCUAAGUUAUUCUUUCCUUUGCAUUAUUGCUACUGUUUAUAUCUUUUGCCAUUUUAAAUCAGCAAGGUUUAAACAGAAAAUAUUUCACAUAAAUAUAUAAACAAUUCUUUUUUUAACUCUUCCUAAACCUAUUUCAGCUCAAUAAUAGAAGAUCUGAAUAACCAAAUGAUAAAACUUUAAUUUGAAAUGAACAAGUGAAAAUAUAUGCUAUGAGCAUCCCCUAGAAAGAAAAACAAUUACGGUAAAGCCAAAGUUUACUUUGCAGAAACUAAUGUCAUCUUGAUUUGAAUUUGCUCUGUGAGUAAACAGAGAUGAUUUAAAUUUCCUUAAUACAGUGGUACCUUGGUACUCCACUGCUUUGAAACUCAUCAGAUUUGGUACUUAGUGCAUUUUGACAGGAACAUUUUGUACUCAUUCUUUGUUUGGUACUCAAUGCAUAAGCUAGAACUUGUCAGUGUCAGUUGCCUUGUGACUCACUUCAUUAUUCCUUAUGGGAAAAAAUGGUUUGGUAUUCAUCAUUUUUGGUACUCAUCAUGCCUCCCGGAACCAAUUAACAAUGAAUACCUAGGUACCAAUGUAUAUGUAAGCUUUUCUUUUCAUACGUUUGAAUUUUAUGACCCAUUGAAAAUGCCUUAAAAGGCAAGUUGGUGAAUAUCAAAUAUCACAGGUAUGUACCCAAGUUCAGCUUUACACUGUAAACCAGGGGUCCCCAAUCUUUGGUCCAUGGAUUGGCACCAGGCCGCAGCAUGCCAGAAACUGGGCCACGCAAACAAGCAAAGACCCAUCUGUGGGAUGCUGGCGAUACAUAAAACCCCCUCCGGUCCACAGAAAAACCUCUCUCCACGGAACUGAUCCCUGGUGCCCAAAAGGUUGGGGACCUCUGCUGUAAACCAUUCCUUCCUUUUGGAAAAGGAAUGGAUGAUAUAAUGCAAUUUUCAGGUUGACAUGUUGGGCUUGUGAGUUUUGUCACGGAUGUUAAUCCCUCAUUGUUGUUUAAGGUUAGAUGUUGCUUCAAUGGUGACUAGUGUGAUGACUGGGAAAAUAUUUUGUAACGUUAUCUGGGAUUUGUUUAAUUAUAUGAAAGCUAAAGAAGUGGACAGGGUUCUGCAGAAUGUAUUGCCAGUUGAUUCUAAUGGGGCAAGGCAAUCGUGAGGAUACCUAGGUACCAAGCCAUAUUUUUUUCUGAAUGUGUAAUGUUGACAGUGCACAGACAGUGAUACAGACAUGCUCUCUUUUUUCAUCUUAGUUACACAGAUAUUAUCUCUCAGCCUAUUAUUGUUAUCAUAAGGAAUUUAGAACAACUACAAGUGCACUGUUCCAAGCUCUUUAAAAUUGUCCUACAUAGUUUGUUAUAAAAUUAUAAUAAAUCUAGCAAAUAAAAAUAAGAGGUGUGAAUUAGAUAUAAUCAGGAUUUUAGAGUAAAAAAUAAUUAUGAAAGAUAUGCUAUAAAUCUUAAGAACUGCCCUCAACUCUUCUUAGUCUAAUGGAAAAGAGCUACCAAAAUUGUUAACCUCAAUUUCACAGUUGACUGACAAGAGUCUUAGAUAGACAAAAUGAAACAUAGGAGACUGAAGAGUCUGAUGGAAACUUGAAAUUGAUAGAAAUGUGGUCAGAGAAUAUUUAUUUACUUUCAGCUGAAAACUCCAAAACCAGAUGAAUUGCAUUCUAUGGCUCUGAAGGAAAUAACUGAUAGUCUGAUUGAACUUUCACAUACUAUGUUUGAGAAAUCCUGGAGAAAGUACUAGAUAACAGGAAGAGACCAAAUAUUAUUUCUGUCUCAAUAAAGAGAGAAAAGGGAAAUGUCUCUCAGAAAUCAGCAUGGAUUUGUGAAGAGCAAUACCUACUAAGCUAAUCGUAUUUCCUUUCAAAAUACCAAGGAGGGAUGCUAUAAACAUAAUUAUCAAGAUUUCAAGAAAAAAAUAAUAAAGUGUCAUUUGAUUAAUAAGCUAGGGUGAACUGGAAAUAGUUGUAUAAUGCAACUGUAAUAAUGCCUAAUAAAUAAAUCUCUUAUGCAGGAGCUAGAUUCAGACUUAAAUGAUAAAAUUCACAAUCCCUUGUUUGGAACAAAAGAUUAUUAUUUAAGGCUGAUAUGCCCUUGCCUACUUCCUAGGGUGAGACAGAGUGACUGGCCCAAGGUCACCCAACUGGUGAAACUAGAACUCGCAAUCUCCUGUUUCCCAGCUUGGUGCCUUAACCACAACACCAAACUGGUUCUCUGACCUGAUUGGAAGCACCAAAUUGAGCAAGAAUUUUCUGUCAAUAAUCUAAAUGUCUUCUUCCAACUCUAUGAAUUUUUCGAACUUUGGAACAAAAUAUUAUCAUUUAAGGCUGAAUCUAGUUCCUGCCUAACAAAUUUACUUGUUAGGAAGUAGGCAUUGUAUUACAUAACUAUUUCUGCUUACCCCCAAUUAAUCGAUAUGCUGUGUAAGCUAUAAGCCCAAAAUGCAGGCAUUCUAAAUUGUGAUCUAAGUCUGCAUGGAAAUGUUAUUUUUGAUAUAUGCACAUGCAUAGUAUUAUAACUUUUGUGUUGAUGUUUGAGAUAUCCUUUUAUAUUAUCAUAUUAAUCUUAUGCAAAUCUUUCUAUUAAAUCUUCAAAGGACUAGUUUUAUACAGCUAUGUCUAUAUUAAGAACACAGAUAGAAAUUCUUCCUCCCCCCCCCAAACCCAUCAUAUCAUAGAAAAUGUGGUUAUCUUAUGAAGUUGAAUGACAAAUUUUAGACAAAUUUAAAUAAUGGACAAAUCUUGUCAGAUGAGUUCAAAGGUCUAUUUAGUUGGUAUUUGCUUUCAGCAGUAUCCAAACUGUUAUCAGUGGGAAAGCAAACACAGAAUACUGUAUAAGGAUUAAUAGCAGUUCUGCUAAAUCAGGUUAAGGCUCAUUUUAGUUUGUUAUUGUGCCCCUCAUUGUGGCAAACCAGUCACUAACUCUUUCACUGCUGUUCUACAACUGGUGUUUGGGGUUAUUCUCUCCCAAUCCAGAGGUAACCUUUAGUCUUUAAGCUCUUCAUUGACCUGUCUUCUGUGAAUUUAUCAAACCCUCUUUUAAAGCCAUCCAAAUUAAUGGCCCACACCACAUCUUGUGAUAAUGAACUCCAUAGACAGAUAUGAACUGAUUAUUUAUUUGUUUUUUUUUCUUUCAAAUUAUAGGGUUGACUAACAGAAACAAUUUUAACCAGAUUUUAAUGGUUAAAAUAUUAAAUUAAAAAAAAAACAACAACCAAGAUACAGUACAAUAAUAACAAUAUGCUGUGGAAUAUACAUUUAAUGACUAUUCAAAUGGUUCAUAAAUUGCCUCAACCCAGAACUGCUGCAAAAGCCAAGUUUUUAAUACUUUCUGGAAGGUCAGCAGUGUUGGGGCUAAAAGGACAAUAAGCACUUCAUUAAUAAUUAAUAAACAUCCAUUAAUUACAUUAAUUCUGCAUUGCAUGGAAAAGUAUUUUCUUUUGUCUGUUCUAAAUCUUUCAGAUCUCCUGAUCUUAACAUUUUAAGAAAGUAAGGGAAAAAAAACACCUCUUUUUCACAUUUUCUAGCAACUAGCACGUAAACAUGUACUCUCUUUAAUUCUAGAGAUAAUAAUAACUGUUAUAGCUCAUAGCUAUUGAUAACUUUAUCUCUGUGAAUGUGUCUCUUUUUUUUUAAAGUUCUCAAAGGUUGUGAUUGUCAUUAUAUCAUGUGGUAUUGCAAUUUGCACAAGAGAAAAAAAUGUUUCAAGUGCUUACACCACAAAUUCUCCAAUGUCCACCAGGACCACAUAAUAAAUUCUUCUUCUUUGUGUGUGCUGAAGCUAUUGCAUCACUGUUUCUUACCUGAGACCAUGAAUUUCUUAAGCCUUCUUCCAUUGCAUCGGUUUAUUCAUUACCUGAGUUUAUUGGCUGAACCUCCCCAUUUGGUCCAUCUACUUUCCAAGAUAUAAUGCGCCAGAAAGAAUGUUGCCUUCAUGCUCAUGCCCCAACUUUAGAUAGGAAGAAGAGUGACAUACACAUUAAUAAACAAACAAAUAAAUGAAUUUUGCUUUUGUGCAAAUAAAUAAGACACAGAAUAAUAGUUACUAAGCUUAGUGAACUUUGGUCAUGUUAUGUCCUGGGCCUGCUGAGUGACUCAGCAGGUGCAGGAAGCUGCAGAGAGCCCUGGGCAGACCACAUGGUUGCCCGGGACCAGACAGGCUGUCUCCAGCCUAUUGCGCACACGCAAGGCGGGAGAAUCCAUUGCAUUGAUUGGCUGACACUGUCCCUGCAAAGGAGUAUAUAAAGGAAUCCACGCCAUUUUGUUUUGGUUCUGUUGGAGAUUCAAUAAAGAAGUAUCUGUUGUUUGUCUGCCUCGUCUCAAUGCCUUACCAACGCACAGAACAGAACAGGUCACAUGCAGCACAUUAAGAUAUCUGAUCUAUAUAUACUUUGCAAGCCAACAUAUGAUCUCCAUAUCUCAUCAACUAAGAGGUAUAUGAGAUAUUCAGAAAAGGAAACAUUGACUGGAUUAUCUUGGCUAUAAAUAUAUUAAGAUGGGGGGGGAUCAUUAUCCUGGCAUUUAUUACACUUAGAAACCACAGUAUGAAAGUAUACACAGCAUCUUGCUAAUAGUAAUAUCAGAAUAACCCAAUCAGAAUAUUUUCUUUCUGAUUAAUAGAUGAGUAUCACUAUCAAAAACUAACAGUGCUCAGCAAUUGCUUGGUGAUUAAAAGCCAUUUCUUUCUGCUUACUUAGUAUUCUACUUACUGUUUGCAAAUGGGAUUCUUAGGAUAUAAAUGAGGAAAGUAAAAUGUGGUACAUUUUCAACUAUUGACCUUCAUUGUACAAAGAAAUGCAAAUUUAAAUAGAGAGAAAUUUCCCUUUGUAGAUCGUCAAAUUAAUUAAUCAUAACUAGUUUCCAGUGCUAUAGAAAUAGAACAAAACUGUCUUGGAUAAAUGAUUUUAAACUUUGUUCUUAUAAUUAUGUGUUAUGACGAUAUAAAGUGUAGAAAAAUGAAGAUGAAC